UUUAUACAACGAAGAGUUUGAUCCUGGCUCAGGAUGAACGCUAGCGGCAGGCCUAACACAUGCAAGUCGAACGGUAACAUAAGAGCUUGCUCUUGAUGACGAGUGGCGCACGGGUGAGUAACGCGUAUGCAAUCUACCUAUAACUGAGGGAUAGCCCAGAGAAAUUUGGAUUAAUACCUCAUAAUAAUAUUUUUUGGCAUCAUUAAAUAUUUAAAACUUCGGUGGUUAUAGAUGAGCAUGCGUUCUAUUAGUUUGUUGGUGAGGUAAAAGCUCACCAAGACUACGAUAGAUAGGGGGCCUGAAAGGGUGAUCCCCCACACUGGUACUGAGACACGGACCAGACUCCUACGGGAGGCAGCAGUGAGGAAUAUUGCACAAUGGAGGAAACUCUGAUGCAGCCAUGCCGCGUGCAGGAUGACGGCCCUAUGGGUUGUAAACUGCUUUUUUACAAGAAGAAACCUUGGUACGUGUACCAACUUGACGGUAUUGUAAGAAUAAGCACCGGCUAACUCCGUGCCAGCAGCCGCGGUAAUACGGAGGGUGCAAGCGUUAUCCGGAUUUAUUAGGUUUAAAGGGUUCGCAGGCGGAAUUUUAAGUCAGUGGUGAAAGCCUACAGCUCAACUGUAGAACUGCCAUUGAAACUGAUAUUCUUGAGUAUAGAUGAAGUGGGCGGAAUAUGUCAUGUAGCGGUGAAAUGCAUAGAUAUGACAUGGAACACCAAUUGCGAAGGCAGCUCACUAAACUAUUACUGACGCUCAUGAACGAAAGCGUGGGGAGCGAACAGGAUUAGAUACCCUGGUAGUCCACGCCGUAAACUAUGAUCACUAGAUGUUGGCGAUAUACUGUCAGUGUUUUAGAGAAAUCGUUAAGUGAUCCACCUGGGGAGUACGUUCGCAAGAAUGAAACUCAAAGGAAUUGACGGGGGCCCGCACAAGCGGAGGAACAUGUGGUUUAAUUCGAUGAUACGCGAGGAACCUUACCAAGGCUUAAAUGUAGAUUGACAGAUUGUGAAAACAGUUUUUCUUCGGACAAUUUACAAGGUGCUGCAUGGUUGUCGUCAGCUCGUGCCGUGAGGGGUCGGGUUAAGUCCCAUAACGAGCGCAACCCCUAUUUUUAGUUGCCAGCGAGUAAUGUCGGGAACUCUAGAAAGACUGCCUGUGUAAACAGUGAGGAAGGUGGGGAUGACGUCAAAUCAUCACGGCCCUUAUGUCUUGGGCUACACACGUGUUACAAUGGUUACUACAGUGGGCUGCCAUCUGGCAACAGAGAGCAAAUCCAUAAAGGUAAUCCCAGUUCGGAUCGGAGUCUGCAACUCGACUCUGUGAAGUUGGAUUCGCUAGUAAUCGUAUAUCAGCAAUGAUACGGUGAAUACGUUCCCGGGCCUUGUACACACCGCCCGUCAAGCCAUGGAAGUUUGUGGUGCCUGAAGUCAGUAACCGUAAGGAUCUGCCUAGGGUAAAACAGAUAACUAGGGCUAAGUCGUAACAAGGUAGCCGUACCGGAAGGUGUGGCUGGAAUAUCUCUUUU
rnacentral:rRNA from 1 species